CUCGGGUACACCUCAGAGGUGAUUUUGAUCUCGGAGCUGUGAGAAGCGCGCAGGAGACUGUAUCAUGCCAUCAUUAGAAGGAAACCCCGAGGCCGCCUGUGCUGUCCAGGGUGGGGAGUCUGCAGAGCUGCUUCCUCUGCUGAGCUAAUGAAUGGCAUGUUGGUUUUGGAGCUGCUGUAAGGAGAAGAAGGAGUGGCAAUUAAUGGAAAAUACUGCAGCUACUGUUCUGCCCAGAAGCCUUGAGCCAGGUUCUCUGCAGGUGCUGCCAUUGGGUCACCCCAAAAUGUGAAGCUGAGCUCAAAAGGUUCAGCCUGUGUUCAGUUGACGCAUCAGGAGCUCCAGGGAUUUACUCAGAUUGUCUUAAUUAGAUACCCAGCAAUCACUCCAGCUGGAGAUUAUGCGUGUGAAAUUAGAGGCACUGGCAUUUUCAGAGCUUGUGUAGGUAUAAGAAUUGUUCAUUCUACGAAAUGCCCUUACUUCGCAGAAGUUAGAGUUGCUAAAAACUGCAGGCCAGCUACUGAGAUUUUUGCCUUCAACGUCUUCAGAACAUUCCAGCCAAUUUACAGGCAACUGCAUGGUUCCUUGCAGGCUCAGGGCCUCAAAGCCGAGGAACCCAAUAAAUAAGAAAUAUGUAUAACUAAAUAUAGCACCUCUACUUAAUCAUUUCAUUCCCUUCCACCUGCUUCCAAAGAACAAAGUUUCAAGCAAAAAUCCCUCAUGUCAAGUUUCAUCUGUCUUACCAUAUUUCUGAGUGAAUUGCUGCUCCCCGCUGCCCCUCCCAACAGGAGUUCACAGAAGUGCAGCAAGACCUUAUUAUUCUGUUUAUGAUAGGAUGGUCUAUUCCAGUACGAUGCAGUCCAUAGUAAAUCCAUC